rnacentral:sRNA from 1 species
CUUGUUCUCUGUAGCUUUCAAUCCUUUAUACAUAGUGUUCCUUUUUUUUAAAUACUGUCUUCUCCUUGUUCAUCUUCCACCUAACUGUUCUUACUAAUCCUUCGUGAUUAGCUUAGAUAUCAAUUUCUCCAGGAAGUUGUCCCCACUGAUCCCCAAGCCUGGGUUAGGUUCCCGGGAGUCCUGUGUGCCUUCUGUAACACCUUGUGUUUUCCUAUCAUAGCUCUCAGCAGCCUGUUUACUUGUCUGAACGUUACUUGAGAGGAAGAAUUUUUGGCUGUUUUAUUCACUAUUGUCUCCCCAGCUCCUAACAAAGAACCUGGCACACAGCUCAAUACAUGGUAGCUAUUAUUAUUAUCAGCACCUUCAUCUAUCAUAAUUCUCAAAUGUCUGGUUGUUGCAUAAAUAACUCUUAAGUAUGCCAAGAAGCUUAGAGUUAAGUUACAAGACUGACAAGGGCAUGCAUUGUUUCAGAGCCAUGUUUGGGACCUUUGUUUUUCACUUAUUCAAUCAUUUUCCCUUUUUAUACUAGGAACUGACCCAGGAGUGUGAUGAAAAGAAAUCCCAGUAUGAUAGCUGUGCAGCAGGCCUCGAAAGCAAUCGGUCCAAAUUAGAACAGGUAAGAAGAGAGUUUUUAUUUUAACAAUUUAGCAAAAACUACCUGUGUGUACACCUGUAGUCCCAGCUACACUGGAGGCUGAAGCAGGAGGAUUGCUUGAGCCUAGGAGUUUGAGGCUACAGUGAGCUAUGAUCACACCACUGCAUUCUAGCCUGGGCCACAGAGCAAGACUCUCUCUCUAAAAAAAAAUGUUUUAAAUACUGCCCGUGUACGCACAUUUUCACUACAUCAAUGUCAAAAGAUUCCCAAAUCUUUAUCAUCAUCUCCUAAGCUCCAGAGAUCUUUAUUUCUUUAAUUUGUACACACUUAAUUUCCCAUCUGUACCACUCCCAGCAAAGUACAAGGCUCAUUAUCUGCUGCCUGGCCUCCCACAGUAAACUCUUACCUAUUCUCUUGCUUCUACUCUUGCUCUCCUAAGGUUUAUUCUUCAUAGGGCAGCCUAAGAAACCUGUUUAAAAUUUUUGCCACCCUUCAUUGGCUUCCUGUUGCACUUAAAAUAAAAUCUAACCACCAAACUAUGGUCUACAAGGCCCCACCUGCCUUAUGAACUUCAUGUCCAUGUGCUCUACUCCUCAUCCAUGGAGCUUCAGCCACUCUGACCUUCUUCCUGAGCUUUAAACAGGCCAAGCUUGUUUUCACUUUGGGAUUUUGCAUGUACUCUUCCCUUCUGCGUGAUAUACUCUGCUCCUAACUCUUCGCCCUCCCUUCUCCUUUUCAUCACUAGGUCUCAGCCUUAGUGUCACUGCCUUUCAGAGAUCUCUGAUCACCUGAUGUUACCCACUCUUCUUCCCAACCUGGCCCACCCAGUCCCUCUAUCACAUUCUACUGAUGGAUUUCCUUCAUAGCGCUUAUCCCCAUCUCAAAUAUCCUUCAUUAUGUUUCCUUGUUUAUGUUGGUUUCUUCUACUUCAGUGAAAGCAGGGAAGCUGCCUGUUCACUUCUGUGUCCUCAGCACUUAGAACAGUGCUGGACACACAGUAGGUACUUAAUAAAUGUAUGAUUGGGCCAGAUGCAGUCGCUCAUGCCUGUAAUCCCAGCACUUUGGGAGUCCAGGGCAGGAGGAUCACUUGAGGCCAGGAGUUCGAGAUCAGCCUGGCCAACAUGGUGAAACCCUGUCUCUACUAAAAAUACAAAAAUUAGCCAGGCGUGGUGGCACGUGCCUGUAGUCUCAGCUCCUCAGGAGGCUGAGGCACGAGAAUCUCUUGAACCUGCGAGGAGGAGGUUGCAGUGAGCCAAGACUGCACCACUGCACUCCAUCCUGAGUGACAGAGUGAGACUCUGUCUCAAAAAAUACAAUUGAACUUGCAGGUUAUAGAGUGAUAUGAGUAUUCUCUAGAAAAAGAUUAUCUCUUAUUGUGCUAGAAUAAACAAAGUUAAAAUUGCAGAAGAGGAAAUGACUCUGAUGGUAGUCCUUUGUUGUACAUCUAAAGUCAUCAUCGCCAUAUCUGUCUCAUUCUUUCGAUAAUGUCACCUAUCUAAAAUUAUAUAUUAUAGGAAGUUAGAAGACUCCGUGAAGAAUGUCUUCAAGAAGAAAGUAGAUACCAUUAUACAAAUUGUAUGAUUAAGGUAAGACAAAGUAGAUCAAAAACAUUUCUGAGUUUUUUCUAUAUCAAAGUCUUCCCUAAAACUUAAGUCUUUCUAUUUAGAACCUAGAAGUUCAACUUCGUCGUGCUACUGAUGAGAUGAAGGCAUAUAUCUCUUCUGAUCAACAAGAAAAAAGAAAGGCAAUUAGGGAACAGUAUACCAAAAAUACUGCUGAACAAGAAAACCUUGGAAAGAAACUUCGGGAAAAACAAAAAGUUAUACGAGAAAGUCAUGGUCCAAAUAUGAAACAAGCAAAAAUGUGGCGUGAUUUGGAACAAUUAAUGGAAUGUAAGAAACAGUGCUUUCUGAAACAACAAAGCCAAACUUCCAUUGGUCAGGUAAUUCAGGAGGGUGGGGAGGACCGGCUAAUACUGUGAAUUCUUGUGUCAUCAUUUGGGGUUUUACUUGAUACCACUAGCUAUAAGCCUAAUCUCAUAAUGUAUUUCUUUUUUGAAACUGAUUUGUAUAGCAUUUUGUUUUCAGAAGAGCCAUUCUUUAUUAAGUUUUCAUAGAAAAUAAUGUUAAGGUAGAUUUAGUUUGAAUGUUUUUUCAUAUGAAAAAGAGGCUUUUAUUCUUUUCCAUAGUUUAGACAUCACUGACGUCUUCUGAGUUUUAUGAGACAGGAAACUAAAUUUACUAUCUGUAAAUGUAAACAUAUGUCCAUUAAGAAACAUGUAGUUUUUUUUUAGAAUGUAAUAACCCAGUGGCUUA